GAUCAUGGCUCAGGACGAACGCUGGCGGCGUGCCUAACACAUGCAAGUCGAGCGGAGACAGUGAGUAGCUUGCUAUGAGCUGUUUUAGCGGCGGACGGGUGAGUAACGCGUGAGCAACCUUUCCCAGACAGGGUAAUAACACACCGAAAGGUGUACUAAUACCGCAUAAGACCACGGAAUCACAUGGUUCUGGGGUAAAAGAAUUAUCGGUUUGGGGUGGGCUCGCGUCCGAUUAGGUAGUUGGUGAGG
rnacentral:rRNA from 1 species